rnacentral:piRNA from 1 species
GCCAGUCUCAUUGAGAAGGCAUGUGCGGAC